UCUGGUAUGUGGUACCCAUUGCUGGAAAGAUGCUUUAAAUUCAACAGAAAGAGGAAUAUUCUGAAUUUUCUAAGAAAAUAAACUAAUGUUUUAGAAAGAAGAAUGAAAUGUGGAACUGACAGAAAGAACAAACCUAGAUGUGCUAAUUUUGUUUGAACAUAUUGGGAUGGAAAAGAGACAAAUUUUCUUAAUUACUAUCUGCCAAUAUUGGUUUAACUGUUACUCCAAAAUGAAGACCAGGUCCUGUGCAUAUCCAAGUCUAUGAAACAAUUUCCCUUCAGUUUGUCCACAGUAAUCUGAACCCACAUUAAUGUGAAAAGAAAAAAUGGGCUGUAGAAGAGCUUAAGAUCAAUGGCAAAAAAAUUAAUAUAUGAUAAGGUCUACUACAAUCAGAAGAAUAAUUUUAACAUUCUAUGCUAAUAUGGAAUAACUUAACCUGGCACAUUGCAAUUAUCAAAAUAUUUGCUCUUUAUCUGCUAAAGGACCUGGACCCUCAGACAGCACUUCUACCAACAUCCAGCCUGUAGCCAUUAACUCCAUAAGCACCAACAAUAUGGUAGUUUAAGCAAGGUUUAAAGUGUCUCCAACUAUACAACAUUUAUACUGCUUGUUCCUUCCAAAUAAUGAACUUAAGAGGCAGAACUUUGGGAAAAUAUUAGAUCAUCAAGAUGGAGAUCUCAUGCUUGGGAUUAGUGGCUUAUUCAAGAGUCCUCAUUGGGCUGCUUUGAACAUUCUAUCUGCUGUGAACACAAGGUAGAAGUUACAAUUUAUGAGGAAAAACCUUGCACCAGACACAGGAUCUGCCUUGCUUUGAACUUGAGCUGAGUGGCUUCCAGGACUGUGAAAAAUAAAUAUUUAUUGCUUAAAAGCCACCCUAUUUAUGAUAUUUUUGCUACAGCAGCCCAAAUGGACUAAACCACUAAUGUGCAUUUAAAUAGUGAAUAAGUAUGCAUUUUUAAUUUAUCUUUUAAUUUAAUAAAUAUAUCUCUGGUUCAAGACAGCUUGAUAAUUUAAAAGUUUCCUUAAAUCAAAAAGAAAUCCCCCCCUUUUUUUGCAGCAACUCUGUUAUCAACUAAGGUUCUAUUGCAAUCAGUCUCAUUAAAAUUUAAAAGUUGGUUAAUAUUAUUGGGCAAAUGAUAAAAAAUGAUGAAUUAUAAUUUUA